rnacentral:rRNA from 1 species
GGUCAAUCUAACCUAUGGAUGGGGAUAACCUCGGGAAACUGAGAAUAAUACCCAAUAGAUCAUUAUGCCUGGAACGGUUUAUGGUUGAAAUGAAUUUCGCCAUAGGAUGAGACUGCGGCCUAUCAGCUUGUUGGUGAGGUAAUGGCCCACCAAGGCUAUAACAGGUACGGGCUCUGAGAGGAGAAGCCCGGAGAUGGGUACUGAGACAAGGACCCAGGCCCUAUGGGGCGCAGCAGGCGAGAAAACUUUGCGAUGUGCGAAAGCACGACAAGGUUAAUCCGAGUGUUUCCUGCUAAAGGAAUCUUUUGUUAGUUGUAAAACCACUAUCGAAUAAGGGGUGGGCAAGUUCUGGUGUCAGCCGCCGCGGUAAAACCAGCACCUCAAGUGGUCAGGAUGAUUAUUGGGCCUAAAGCAUCCGUAGCCUGUCAUGUAAGUUUCCGGUUAAAUCCAUGUGCUUAACAUAUGGGCUGCCGAAAAUACUGCAUGACUAGGGAGUGGGAGAGGUAGACGGUACUCGGUAGGAAGGGGUAAAAUCCUUUGAUCUAUUGAUGACCACCUGUGGCGAAGGCGGUCUACCAGAACACGUCCGACGGUGAGGGAUGAAAGCUGGGGGAGCAAACCGGAUUAGAUACCCGGGUAGUCCCAGCUGUAGACAAUGCAGACUCAGUGAUGCUCUGGCUUGUGGCCAGUGCAGUACCGCAGGGAAGCCGUUAAGUCUGCCGCCUGGGAAGUACGUACGCAAGUAUGGAACUUAGAGGAAUUGGCGGGGGAGCACCACAAGGGGUGAAGCCUGCGGUUC